rnacentral:rRNA from 1 species
AUGGCGGGACUCAAGCCCAGCGUCAACCUCUUCGCGCUCCUCGACCGCAAUGAUCCCGGGGACAAGCUCGUUAUCGACCUCGACGACGCCAAUUCCAAGCAAGAUGCGCCGGCGGCCAAGCACAAGAAGACGGCGACGCCGGCUGCCAGUCUUACCAAGGAUCUAUUCGCCCAGGCAUACCCUACCGCACGUGAUUACGUAAUCAGGAAAAAUCAGCUGGAGAGACAGGCCCGGGCCAGGGCCAGGGCGGAGGCCGAGGCGGCUGCAAGGGCAAAGGUUUCCGGCGAUGAUAAGAACGCGGGGGCUUCGGCCGACAGCAGCAAGGUACAAGAUGGAGCAAGGCAAGGCAGAUACUACAACAACAACAACAACUACUACUACAACAACGGAGCAUCGAGGAAGCAGCAACCCGGCAUGCCGGGCAAAUUCGGAGCUCCACAGAGGCAGCAACCCAACAUGCCGCUGAACGGGGCGGCACCUGCAGAAGGCGUGGAGGCGCCGCCGGCACCCCAGCAGGCUCCUCGGCCACCGCCACCGAGCCUAGAUGACACCAACGAGUUUCCUUCCUUGAAGUAG